rnacentral:rRNA from 1 species
UGGCGGACGGGUGAGUAACGCGUGGGUAACCUGCCCUGUACAGGGGGAUAACAGCUGGAAACGGCUGCUAAUACCGCAUAAGCCCACGGGUCGGCAUCGACCAGAGGGAAAAGGAGCAAUCCGCUUUGAGAUGGUCUCGCGUCCGAUUAGCUAGUUGGUGAGGUAAUGGCCCACCAAGGCGACGAUCGGUAGCCGGACUGAGAGGUUGAACGGCCACAUUGGGACUGAGACACGGCCCAGACUCCUACGGGAGGCAGCAUG